CCUACGGGUGGCAGCAGUGAGGAAUAUUGGUCAAUGGACGAGAGUCUGAACCAGCCAAGUAGCGUGAAGGAUGACUGCCCUAUGGGUUGUAAACUUCUUUUAUCAAGGAAUAAAACGAGGCACGUGUGCCUUUUUGCAUGUACUUUAUGAAUAAGGAUCGGCUAACUCCGUGCCAGCAGCCGCGGUAAUACGGAGGAUCCGAGCGUUAUCCGGAUUUCUUGGGUUUAAAGGGAGCGUAGGUGGGUUGUUAAGUCAGUUGUGAAAGUUUGCGGCUCAACCGUAAAAUUGCAAUUGAUACUGGCAGUCUUGAGUACAGUUGAGGUAGGCGGAAUGCAUGGUGUAGCGGUGAAAUGCUUAGAUAUCACGAAGAACCCCGAUUGCGAAGGCAGCUUGCUAAACUGUGACUGACAUUGAGGCUCGAAAGUGUGGGUAUCAAACAGGAUUAGAUACCCUUGUAGUC
rnacentral:rRNA from 1 species